AACGCACCUUGCACCCUUUGGUAUUCCAAAGGGUAUACUCGUUUGAGUGUCAUUGUACUCUCACACUUCUCUAUUUGAGAGAAGUCGUGGACUUGGAUGUUGCCGCUUCAAUGUCAGGCUCAUCUCAAAUCGCUUAGUGCAUCUCUGGAUUUGGGCAUAGUAAUAGAUAGUAUUUACUACUACUACUACUACACAGCGUGAUAAGUAUCUUCGCCAGUGUGCCUCCUAAGUGGAGGGUGUCUAAUGGAAGGGGCUCUGUGCUUCAAACCGUCUUUUGACAAUCUCUGACAAGUUGACCUCAAAUCGAGUAGGAUUACCCGCUGAACUUAA
rnacentral:misc_RNA from 1 species